UACAGAGGUCCCAAGCGUUGUUCGGAUUCAUUGGGCGUAAAGCGCGUGUAGGCGGCCCGAUAAGUCCGCUGUGAAAGUCCAGGGCUCAACCCUGGGAUGCCGGUGGAUACUGUCGGGCUUGAGUACGGAAGAGGCGAGUGGAAUUCCUGGUGUAGCGGUGAAAUGCGCAGAUAUCAGGAGGAACACCGGUGGCGAAGGCGGGUCUCUGGGCCGAUACUGACGCUGAGGAGCGAAAGCGUGGGGAGCGAACAGG
rnacentral:rRNA from 1 species